rnacentral:rRNA from 1 species
GCAUACGACCAUACCUUCUAGAAAACUCGGUAUCCCGUCCGCUCUGCCCUAGAUAAACUGGAAAGGGCCGGAUUAGUAGUUGGGUGGGUGACCACCAGCGAAUACCCGGUGUUGUAUGUU